GAUGAACGCUAGCUACAGGCUUAACACAUGCAAGUCGAGGGGAAACGACAUCGAAAGCUUGCUUUUGAUGGGCGCCGACCGGCGCACGGGUGAGUAACGCGUAUCCAACCUGCCCAUCACUUGGGAAUAACCUUGCGAAAGUAAGACUAAUACCCAAUGACAUCCCACGAAGACAUCUGAAUGUGACUAAAGAUUUAUCGGUGAUGGAUGGGGAUGCGUCUGAUUAGCUUGUUGGCGGGGUAACGGCCUAUCAAGGGAACGAUCAGUAGGGGUUCUGAGGGGAAGGUCCCCCACAGUGGAACUGGGACACGGUCCAAACUCCUACGGGACGCAGCAGUGAGGGAUGUUGGAGAAUGGGCGAGUGCCUGAACCAGCCAAGUAGCGUGCAGGAAGACGGCCCUAUGGGUUGUAAACUGCUUUUAUAAGGGAAUAAAGUGGGUCUCGUGAGACUUUUUGCAUGUACCUUAUGAAUAAGGACCGGCUAAUUACGUG
rnacentral:rRNA from 1 species